GAGCACAAAAGUGCGAUUUACACAUCACUUAAAUUAAUAUUAUUGCUAAUAAAUAAUGAUUAAAUGUGUUGCAUUAAAAUCAUAUUUUUUGUGGUGCAAAAGUUAUUGUAAAUCAAGAGUUUAAAUGCACAUUUUGUAUAGUUUGGGAUAAGGCAUGGCUCCAAGCCUAAUGAUGUUAGGAGCAUAAUUGAAUCUGGUCAAGCACAUUUGCACCGGAGCUACACAUGUCUACAUGCCAUAGCCUCUUCCCGGGACACAUGCCAAAGAUCCUGCUGCAGCCCUCAUCCGUUACCAUCUUCAGCAUACCGCGAGCUCCCAGAUUCGUGAUUUGAUCUCAGAGGCUUCCAAGCGUCCGCUCCUCCUCGAGUCCAUUCACAACCCGAUCAACGCCCCUUCUUCCGCCCGUUUCACACGCCUCCCAGCUCCCGGAUCAAGCAACAUCACCUCCCAGCGCGGCAUCUCCUCCGGUUUAUCUCACAUCGGCGUCCAACUCUUCAUCUGCCCGUGAUCGUCUCCCAGCCUUCGCGAUUCAUCCGGCAUCCGUCUCAUCCGCGAUCACCUCCCACGCGUCCGCUCGCCUCCUCCGCAUCACAUCCCAGCAAAGAACCAGCUUAUUAAUCCAUGAUUUCAGCCAGCGAUCAUCCUCCUCCAGCGUGCAGCCCAUCCGUUCGCAUUCACAGAGCAGAUUAGCGCUCCAUCUCCCGCGAUCACCUCCCGGAUCCACGAUCUGCUCAUCUUCCGCCUGCCUCACACGCCUCCCAACCGUUCGUGAGGAUCAUAGCAGCAUCCACAAUCUCCCAGCAAUCCCGCUUCCUGUGAAGCAUCGUAGCCAUCCGCACGUCGUCCGCUCCCGCGAUCAGCUCCCGUGUCCGUCUCGUCCGCGUUCUCAGCCGUUCACACAUGAUCCUCGGCGAUGCAUCCGGAGUCCGCACCCAUCCUCUUCUCCGGAUAUCCAUCGCUAGCUGGGAGGUUGGGGGAUAUAUAUAUGGGGGGGGAAGAAGAAAACGGGGAGCCGGCAUCCGAAGAGAAAAGAAGAGUGAAAACAGAGGAAGAAAGAGAGGGAAACAGGGUAUGCCCUGUUUCCGAAAAUAAAAAAAAAAAGAGAAAUAGAAAAAAAAAUAUGAGGAGGCUUAUUUCUUUGAUGGAGGGCUGAUAUCCUAGGUGAUGGGUGAAGGGACAUCAUUUGGUGUACCAAAUUCAUGAUUUUGGGAUAAGGCAUGGCUCCAAGCCUAAUGAUGUUAGGAGCAUAAUUGAAUCUGGUCAAGCACAUUUGCACCGGAGCUACACAUGUCUACAUGCCAUAGCCUCUUCCCGGGACACAUGCCAAAGAUCCUGCUGCAGCCCUCAUCCGUUACCAUCUUCAGCAUACCGCGAGCUCCCAGAUUCGUGAUUUGAUCUCAGAGGCUUCCAAGCGUCCGCUCCUCCUCGAGUCCAUUCACAACCCGAUCAACGCCCCUUCUUCCGCCCGUUUCACACGCCUCCCAGCUCCCGGAUCAAGCAACAUCACCUCCCAGCGCGGCAUCUCCUCCGGUUUAUCUCACAUCGGCGUCCAACUCUUCAUCUGCCCGUGAUCGUCUCCCAGCCUUCGCGAUUCAUCCGGCAUCCGUCUCAUCCGCGAUCACCUCCCACGCGUCCGCUCGCCUCCUCCGCAUCACAUCCCAGCAAAGAACCAGCUUAUUAAUCCAUGAUUUCAGCCAGCGAUCAUCCUCCUCCAGCGUGCAGCCCAUCCGUUCGCAUUCACAGAGCAGAUUAGCGCUCCAUCUCCCGCGAUCACCUCCCGGAUCCACGAUCUGCUCAUCUUCCGCCUGCCUCACACGCCUCCCAACCGUUCGUGAGGAUCAUAGCAGCAUCCACAAUCUCCCAGCAAUCCCGCUUCCCGUGAAGCAUCGUAGCCAUCCGCACGUCGUCCGCUCCCGCGAUCAGCUCCCGUGUCCGUCUCGUCCGCGUUCUCAGCCGUUCACACAUGAUCCUCGGCGAUGCAUCCGGAGUCCGCACCCAUCCUCUUCUCCGGAUAUCCAUCGCUAGCUGGGAGGUUGGGGGAUAUAUAUAUGGGGGGGGAAGAAGAAAACGGGGAGCCGGCAUCCGAAGAGAAAAGAAGAGUGAAAACCGAGGAAGAAAGAGAGGGAAACAGGGUAUGCCCUGUUUCCGAAAAUAAAAAAAAAAAAGAGAAAUAGAAAAAAAAAUAUGAGGAGGCUUAUUUCUUUGAUGGAGGGCUGAUAUCCUAGGUGAUGGGUGAAGGGAGAUCAUUUGGUGUACCAAAUUCAUGAUGUAAAUUCUAAUCCUUUGCUUUAUACGAUUUAUCUUUUGAUUA